UGAGGAACAUGACCUUCGGCGGGGGAUAGCCGGCCCAACGGCCGGGUAAUACCGCGUACGACCACAUGGGGACAUCCCUGAGUGGUGGAAGCAGCAAUGCGCCGAUGGAGUGCCUCGCGGCCUAUCAGCUAGUUGGUGAGGUAACGCUCACCAAGGCGACGACGGGUAGCUGGUCUGAGAGGAUGGCCAGCCACAUUGGGACUGAGACACCGGGCCCAGACCUCGUAACCGGGGGAGG
rnacentral:rRNA from 1 species